UUUCGCGACCAUACUACGUUGAAAGCACCGAUUCUCGUCCGAUCACCGCAGUUGAGCAGUGUUGGGCCCGAUCAGUACUUGCAUGGGUGACCAGAUGUAGUCCGCUUUAAAAGCCCCCAAAU
rfam:Schistosoma mattheei strain Denwood, Zambia genome assembly, scaffold: SMTD_scaffold0007576